rnacentral:SRP_RNA from 1 species
GCUGGGUGUGGUGAUGCAUGCCUGUAAUCUCAGCUACUCAGGAGGCUGAGGCAGGAGAAUUGCUUGAACCCGGGAGGUGAAGGUUGCAGUGAGCCAAGAUUAUGCCACUGCACUCUAGCCUGGGUGACAGAGCAAGACUCUGUCUCAA